rnacentral:rRNA from 1 species
AACGAACGCUGGCGGCAUGCCUAACACAUGCAAGUCGAACGAGACCUUCGGGUCUAGUGGCGCACGGGUGCGUAAGGCGUGGGAACCUGCCCUUAGGUUCGGAAUAACUCCCCGAAAGGGGUGCUAAUACCGGAUAAUGUCUUAGGACCAAAGAUUUAUUGCCUUUGGAUGGGCCCUCGUUGGAUUAGCGAGUUGGUAGGGUAAAAGCCUACCAAGGGGAUGAUGCAUAGCUGGUCGGAGAGGAUGAUCAGCCACACUGGGACUGAGACACGGCCCAGACUCCUACGGAAGGGAGCAGAGGGGAAUAUAGGACAAUGGGGGAAAGCCUGAUCCAGCAAUGCCGCGUAAGUGAUGAAGGCCGUAGGGUUGUAAAGCUCUUUUACCCGGGAUGAUAAUGACAGUACCGGGUGAAUAAGCUCCGGCUAACUCCGUG